rnacentral:tRNA from 1 species
GCGGGCGUGGCGAAAUUGGCAGCCGCGCGAGGUUUAGGUCCUCGUGUCGUAAGACGUGGGAGUUCGAGUCUCCCCGCCCGCA